rnacentral:tRNA from 2 species
GCUUGCGUGGUGUAGUGGCCCAUCAUUUCGGGUUUUCAUCCCGGCGACCCGGGUUCGAAUCCCGGCGCGAGCACCA